GACGAACGCUGGCGGCGUGCUUAACACAUGCAAGUCGAACGGAAAGGCCCUGCUUUUGUGGGGUGCUCGAGUGGCGAACGGGUGAGUAACACGUGAGUAACCUGCCCUUGACUUUGGGAUAACUUCAGGAAACUGGGGCUAAUACCGGAUAGGAGCUCCUGCUGCAUGGUGGGGGUUGGAAAGUUUCGGCGGUUGGGGAUGGACUCGCGGCUUAUCAGCUUGUUGGUGGGGUAGUGGCUUACCAAGGCUUUGACGGGUAGCCGGCCUGAGAGGGUGACCGGCGACAUUGGGACUGAGAUACGGCCCAGACUCCUACGGGAGGCAGCAGUGGGGAAUAUUGCACAAUGGGCGGAAGCCUGAUGCAGCAACGCCGCGUGCGGGUUGACGGCCUUCGGGUUGUAAACCGCUUUCGCCUGUGACGAAGCGUGAGUGACGGUAAUGGGUAAAGAAGCACCGGCUAACUACGCG
rnacentral:rRNA from 1 species